GAGAGAGAAAGAUUAGAUUCAACAAUGUGCUUCUUUCUUCCUCCCAUGUUCAGAACCUCUUGCAAAUGAGGUUCUGAACAUUUCACACCUGGUAUAAUCUAUAAAUUAUUCAGUUGGACUCUCCAUAUAACAGCCUGGAUCCUCAUCUUGAUCAUACAGAGCUGCCAUGCAAACAACAGGAUUUCUUGUUUCCUUUUCAAUUUUUGUAAAAAAAAAAAAUAUAUUCCUCUAUAUGUCACUGCUCAAAUGUACAAGAUGUUUAACUAAUUAAAAAUAUGUCCUGUUUCUCUUUUGUGUUAAAUUUGUCAGCAACAAAUCUGAAGACACCCRGAAGCGUAGCAAGAAAUAUAGCUUUUUAGAUCUUAAAAAUCAUCCCAUUCAGCUCAUUUGCCUAUUGGAUGAUGUCAGCUUUCCAGCACUGUGAGGAUGUUACUUUUCUAACAAGCUCAAGCUGAUAUGACAUCUUUUACCUACAGAAGAGAGUUWAAGCUGUGGAGACUCACACCACAAACCCAGAAAGGAAGUGUGAUAACCAGCCAGAGAAACGACUUUGUAACUUCAUUUUUUAGUUCUKUCUAGACCCUGCAGGGCUCUCUUAAACAGACAUGAACGGAGAYAGGAGCAAACAGCGUUAUGUGUCAACCUUCAAGCUGCAGCUCCAGCCAUCACGUCCCCCAUGUGCACAAAAAAAUGGGACGAGAAYAGCAGACAUCAGGACUUCUGGAAAAUGUUCGGAACCAGAUUCACCAAAAAAUCUAAACCCACCUGUAUUUAUAAGGCCACUUGAAGACUGCUGUGUGGAUGAAGGAGCUGACUUGGUGCUAAGAGGAGUWCUCACAGGAAGUCAGCCCAUCAAAGUUACAUGGCUGCACAAUGGUAAGCAAAGAACAAGGUACAUUGUUGUAUCCUUGCUCAGUGACAUAUGUUAUUGUCUCACAAUACACACUGGUAAUCUAAAACAGAAAAAAAAGUCUGGAAUCUACAAUCCAAACAAAUCAACCUCUUACUUAUAGGAGUAGAUAAAACAUGAAUGUUGUUUUGCAAUGGAAUUAAAGCUGA